UACGGAGGGUGCAAGCGUUAUCCGGAUUCACUGGGUUUAAAGGGUGCGUAGGUGGGCAAGUAAGUCAGUGGUGAAAUCUCCGGGCUUAACCCGGAAACUGCCAUUGAUACUAUUUGUCUUGAAUACUGUGGAGGUCAGCGGAAUAUGUCAUGUAGCGGUGAAAUGCUUAGAUAUGACAUAGAACACCAAUUGCGAAGGCAGCUGGCUACACAA
rnacentral:rRNA from 1 species